rnacentral:lncRNA from 1 species
CCUACCGCCGGAACAAACUCUUCCUUUCAUUCCCAGUACUUCUUUACGUUCCCACAUGACUGCCAACAUCAGGUUCCUUGUUGCCACAGCGGCCGCCGUGGUUCUGCUGCUGGCUCUCCCCGAUUCCCCAGCGGAGGCCAGCCAGCUGAACAUGUACGAAGGCCCCGGCUGCACCGGCCGGUGGACACCUUGCUGGGAUCGCCAGUGCUGCAACGUCACCUACACCAGCAGCUACCGUUUCUACUACAACGACGGCUGGCCCGCCUAUCUCUACAGGGGUAACCGUGCAUGCAAUGGAAACCCCGACGCCGUUCUCAGGAGCAGCGUGGAAUGCACGGACGGCUUCCCCUACCAGAGCAUCAAGCAAACGGACACUGCUCCUUAAAGCGUGAACACCAUCACAAGAUUUUAUUUUUGAGAAUUCGACGCAGCUUUGAUAAAUAAAUAAAGAAAGCUGGUAAAGAAAACAGAUGAAUUAGAGUCUGUUCUUACGUCAUGCGUUGUCAUCGAACUGUGUACAUUCCAUUGCUUUCUACUGGGGUCGUCUUGUGCAUGUCCCUGGUUCCGGUCGCGCCUCUUUUGCGUUAGAGCGGGUUUACCUAAAAUAAAUCAAAUAUCGUAUUCGUCCUUUUUCUCUCUUUCUCUCUAUGUCAUUAUCUCUCACGCUCGUACUCCAUAUGAGCCCAAUACCAUACAAGUCUUAAGCACGAUUUUUCUACUAACCGAUCUACAUAAAUGACUGAGAGUCGGGGUGGCUAAAUGCGAGAAAACCCCACCUAUUUUUAUAGAAUGGAAUAUAAUAUUUAGAGAGAAUUAAGGGAUGGUUAAAUGCGAGGAAACCACACUUAUUUCUAUAGAAUGGAACAGAAUAUAUAGAAAGCAUCAAGGGAUAGACGCAUCAAUGAAACUUGCCCAAGAAAACGACGGUCAACUGAUGUAACCUGUUAAAAAGUAGUGUCUCUGUCGUAAUUAAGAUUAUCAAUGAUUAACAGAUGCAUUCGCGAAAGAAAGGAAAGACGGUUUGUAUGACUAUUUGAUUGUGUACUUCACGAUGCAUUUUGUGAAAAAAAAGUAUAUCCGUUUUUGUGAAAAUUUCUCCUGCUAUGCAACGAAAAUGGUCGAUAGGCAAGCAUCUGUGGCUGCUAAACAGUUCAUCUCAUCCCAUUGUCGUUUCGCCUACCUUCACUUCAUUAAAAUUUUUCUUUCUCCUGAAGCUGUACUUAAUUUUAAACAAUAAUAAUUUUUAUAACUUAGAAAACAUUAAUGGAUUUUUCUUAGAGUAUUAAGGAAGUUUUCCGGACAGAAAAUACUAGACGAGUAAACUCAUGUGGUUCGACAGAAUUUAGAGGAUGAUUUUGCGUUCUGACAUGUUUGGACAAAUACACUGUGUAUAAUGUUUAUCCAUUAAGAUUUUCCAUAAAGUAUGAAGGCUGGAGUGGAUAUGCCAUAGCGACUGGUAGCGUACUUCAUCUUAAAUGAAUGAAAUCACGAGAAUUCUAAAAUAUUAAAUGUAUGGUGCAUAGAUCACUCUACAGACGGAUGAUUUGUUUGGCGUGGAACCUGUGUUUCGACAAGCCCUCGGAGCUUACCGUAGAAAGUAACGUAAUAACUGGACAACUUUCUCUUGGAAUAGUCAAUGUAAAGAAAAUAAGAAACAAUUAAAGAAAGUAAGAAAGUUUGAUAGUUUUUUCUUGUAAUAACCCAAUUCUGUAAGAACCGCUAUAAAAAUCUAGAAAAAAUAGAAUAUUAAAAAAAAAUUUGUAAUAAAGUCCUAUCAUAUUAUUUUGUUGAUUGGAGUUUCCAAUAACCACUAAAGGAACCUAUUUACUGUACGCUCUAAUGGUCAUAUUUCUUUGUAAUGUUUUAUUAUUAACAUUUUACUCUAUUACACCAGAAUUUAAAAAAUGACGCAUCUUUAUUUGAAACAGUCAGUCACACAGUAUUUUUUAUUUUAAAAAUGAUUUAAAAACUGAUAUAAUUUCAUUACUGGAUAUUAACAUCAAACUGCACUACGUCCACAGACUAGAAGGGAAAGGGAAGAGGGAAAGACUGCCGUUAAAAUGGCCUAAGCAAGGUUAAUAAGAAGAGAGGCGGAACUAAGGCCUUUAGCAGUUUUGAAGAAUUCAUAACAGUGCUCUUUUUAAAAUUCAAUGGAGGUUGUUUCUUCGUCAUUUAUGUUUUAACCUAACGGUUCUGUAUAGAAGACUGAACUGCGAUCAACCGAGUUAAUCAUCUAAAAUGCAUACUUUGCGUGUGGUUGGCUUCCUGAAACUUUUUUCUACAGAUCCUAUGUCGGCACUACCGGGUUUGUCAUGUUCUGAGGAAUCAAAAUUAGUAUCGUAAAAAGAUUAUUAAAAUUCUACAGGAUAUAUUGUCCUUUAACUUUACCAUUGGCUAAAUUUUAUAUGUAUCUUCCAUUAUUGAUUUUUAGAAACAUUAUAAGGCGCAGAAAUUUAAGACUGCAUUCAUCAGUGCGAUGAAAAGGAUCCUGCAAUAUUUCAUCGCCAUAAGGAAAUAAUAUUACACGUUCUCAAAGGAUUUUGAUAUCAACAGGGAAUGCUGAAAUUCCACUGCACACGAUCAAAGACUAAGAACAGUUAAGAUCGUUAUAAAUAACGCAGGCUCAAACACUGACAAAGGUUUCCUCCAUGCAUAAUGGUCUAAUCCGUUGAUCCAGUCGUCAUCGAGUACGUCUAGAAGGAAACACAGGAAAAUAGGGAGGGAGUGACAAAGAGUGAGACAUGGGCCUGGAAUAGCCAUCCACGCAACACUGAAGAAACUAGUUGUGUCUUCAUUUUUAUCCUUUAGUAAGUACGAAGCCCAAGAGACACAUCUAUAAACUCCAACAGGAGAUUAUUAACCUAACAGACUCAAGAAACAUACAUCCACAAAGCUACUGGCAGCGAAAGAUAGAAGAGGCACUCUAGAAUGCGACACGCAUCACGUGAGGAGACAUUUCAGGGGUCUCCUUGAUUUCCACUUUUCUAUGAUUUAUUUUGAUGAACUGGGUGGGCCUCCUUCCAAAACUGGUAUCCUAUGAUGAUCUCACCACUUUUAAGGAGCAGUGUCAGUUUGCUUGAUGCUCUGGUAGGGGAAGCCAUUAGUGCAGUCCACGUUGCUCCUGAGGACUAGGUCGGGAUUCCCGUUGCAUACGCGGUUACCUCUGUAGAUGUAGGCGGGCCAGCCGUCGUUGUAGUAAAAGCGGUAGCUUCCUGUGUAGGUGACGUUGCAGCACUCUCGAUCAAAACAAGCCGUCCAUCGCCCGGUGCACCCGGGUCCUUCGUAGAUGUUCAGUUGGCUGGCCUCCGACGCCAUGGCGAAGAAAACAAGCACCACAGCCACGGCCGCUGCGGUAGUGACGAGGAGCUGUCGUCUGGGGGCCAUGCGGGAACUUGAGGAACUAAUGGAAUUAGAGAUCUUCUACAAUCAAAGGAUGAGAUCGUUUCGGACGUGCGGAAGCGGGGAAAGUGUUGUAGCUAUUUCUAGGCAUCUUAUCAAAUUAUUCCUUUCCACAUUAAUUAAAGUCAGAGUUGGAUUCUUUGAUUUCUCACUUCUCGACGACAAGAGCCAACUAGCAACUAGUUUCGGAAAUGGGCAUGUUUGAUGAAUUGGGCUUGAAGAGCUCCGCUUGACUUCGCAAUACUUGACCUUCUCGUCGGCGGGGUAGACCAGACGUUUAUUCUUUCAGCAUUCCUAGUUACAUUUCACAUGAAAAUCUUCCAAGCGUCCAUACUGUAUCAGGAUAGCUAAAUAAACAGAAUGGUUUGUCCGGUCAUCAUUUGCGUGAGGUGCUGAAGAUGUUACUUUGCCGACUUUUCUGCCCACGAAAAGAGUGGCCUAUUUUUGGACUGAGAUUGAGAUCCACUUAGAAGGAACUGGAACCGUAGAAACGCGCCUGACGCUGAAGAUCCCCCUGGCAGCUGGCGUGCAGCGGAUCCGGAAUCACUUGAACCGGGCGGCAAGCAGAGCAAUUUGCGCGUAGAGCCCGCUAUUAUAUAAAACGCAGCCAAUGACAUCAAUUUCCAGCGUAUGAAUUAUUUGCCCCUGCAGCUGUGCUAGGUCAACCAAAGGGUAAAGUACAGUCCGAUACCAGAAAGAUGCUAAUUUGAUGCUCAUGAGAAUGAAAAAUAAGUGAUAACCUAGCUUACGUUUCCUCUGCUGAGGCCUUGUCCACGGUCAUUCUCCUCUCCAGAAAGAAGAGGACUUUAGGACUGGUCGUAGACGGAAACGUCCAAUUUCGGGCCCUGGCAGCGCCGAUUUCGGCGAAUGAGUUUGGUUUAUGGGUGUAGAGGAGGGCGAAGAGAUUGUUUGGGCUAGAGUUUGAUCCCUUCCCGCCGACUGGAAAAUCUGCGUUUGAUCAGGACGGCGUGAGACAAUCUUGUUCUUGUCGAUGGAGUCUUGAAAGAAGACGACGUGUUGUCCGAUUCGUGACUAAAUAUUUCAUGACGUCGAUUGACGGAGAUUAGCUACUGUAGCCGAACUCCGUGUUCUAACUCAACGGGUCUGCCUUAUAACAAUUCUUCGGUUUGCACCCACUGACUGACACAGACGGUUGUACAAGAAAGCACUUUGAGGAGUGCGAACGUACUCACCCUUAGGAACUAUUCGCCGACGGCGUCCCAUGUUGAUCGGCCUUUGAGCAAAAGCUAUAAUAGUUUUGGUCACACUGCAAAAUUGAUUAAAAUUGUCAGGCUCGUUAAAUCAAUCGAUCUUGAACGUAGACAUUGGAGUACGAUAUAAACAAUGGGAUCGAAUCCUUGACCUAGAGGCAUUAAAGCAAAUGGAUAAUUAUGUCAACUAUACUCAGAACUGUUUGGGAACAUAAUAACGAAAUUUAACGCCUUACAGUCACGUGAUGAAUAGAAGUAUUGGUAAAGUCAUAGUCCUCGUCGCUAAGUCUUUUUGUUAUCUAUGAAUUACAGUAAUCGGAUGAAUUAGACGUUCAUCCAUAUUAUCGAAGUCAAAUCCCGAAAGUAAAAUCCUUAAACAGAAAAAUCGAAUAAAAAAUUAUUUUAACACCUUAUUACGCAAUACAAUAGCUUUUGUGCGGUAACUAUGGACAUGAGAAAGUAUGCUAACUUUGAGAAAAGCUAAAGAGACUCAUAAUAAGCGGGACAUCGCACAGGCCUGGAAAGCACUUCACCAUAUCGGAUGCAGCUUUCUUUUCCUGUUGUCCUUGUGCUACGUGCAUCUGUGUGUACGCGUAAGCAAGGUCGGCUUCGAUGAGAAACUGGACUUUCGUAUCCAAGUUUCUUCCCCGAUGCUGUCCGAUUCGCCGAACAGAUCACUAAAAAAGGGGAAUUUCCUUGCUAUCUGUCCCGAUCGUGAUCUACAAAAUCAAGAUGUGAACGCUGUCGUAUAACCACCAUUUCCUGAAAUGUGUGUACGCGGGAAUCGGGUGCGAGACAAAACAUCCGUCCUGUUCUCCACAAAGUCCUCAGGCACGAACGUCAACAUCGAACCCAACUUGUUUUACUUUGCUGGGGACAGCAUGCGUUCAUCAUGGCCCAACAAGUUUCCGACGUCGUCCUCAGACCAACCGUUCUGGCUUACCAUUUCUAUUUGUACCGCAACAGAUAAUCGGCAAGUCACCCACGCACACAUUAAAUUCAAAGAUUCUUUAGGAAUACGAUGGGAAAAAGGAUUUUGUCAAAGCCGCGAACGAACCCUCAAGGACAAAGGAUACAGUUUGAACUUUACGAUGUCGGUCAAUCAUUGAGCGAUUGAAGGAAACCGCACGCGAUCCGAAGAUCAUGUGGAGACAACUACUGCGGGGAAAAACUAUAAAUAGCCAUAGCGUCUACCCACCAUUCCCAACCCGGACACAAUCUUCAGUUUUCCUCCCAUCGCAUCUUGAAUCCACGGACCCUUCACGUACUCCAAUGGCCCCCACCCGCCAACUCCUCGUCGCCACUGCAGCCGCCGUGGCUGUGCUACUUGUUUUCUAUGCCUUGCCGGCGGAGGCCAGCCAACUGAACAUGUACGAAGGACCCGGGUGCACCGGGCGAUGGACGGCUUGCUUUGAUCGAGCGUGCUGCAACGUCACCUACACAGGAAGCUACCGCUUUUACUACAACGACGGCUGGCCCGCCUACCUCUACAGGGGUAACCGUGCAUGCAAUGGAAACCCCGACGCCGUUCUCAGGAGCAGCGUGGAAUGCACGAACGGCUUCCCCUACCAGAGCAUCAAGCAAACGGACACUGCUCCUUAAAGCAUGAAGAUCGUCACGCGAUUUUAGCUUUCAGAGUUACUAGCAGUUUUUAUAAAUAAGUAUAAAAUAGGCGGAAAUAAAAGAGAUGGUUUUGCUGUCCUCUGGUGAGGCGUUUGGCAUCCAUCCUUGUUUCUUCGAAUGCUUUCUACCGGGGCCGUGUGGUGCUCUACUGUCGUGUCUUUCAUGCUGUUCAUCUCCCUCAACUUUUGAGUUGGAGUGCUCUGUGGCAAUAAUAAAUAAAAUAUUCUCAUCAUUCACUUUCUCUCUA